UUCUCCUUCCUGCCACCAUGUGAAAAAGGACAUGUUUGCUUCUCCUUCUGCCAUGAUUUUCCCCUAUAUUCUCACCAGUAACUAAAAGCAUAGUGUCCAGAAUGAAUCUAAGUAGAAGAAGGGAAGACGAGAAGGACACAAGAAGGAAGACAAGGAAAAAUGUCGACCUCAAAGAACUAGAGGAACAACACUGGAGUUAUACGAAACACCCAGAAUUAGAAUCAGAGCAAUUUGAUUGGAUUUACAACAGCUGAUUGUAGAUACAAGAACUUUACCGAGCCAUUCACAAUUUUUGUGCUUCAAUUUCAUCAUUUUAAAACAGAAAGAAUUUACCUUAUACGCUUGUUGCUUAGAUUAUAAAGGAAUUAUCUAUAUAAAAAGUACAAUAAAGAAGAAUAUAAAUGUAAGAAUGUAGAGGGUCACAAACAUAGUUUGAAAUAUCCAUGUUUUUCAUUUUGGAGUGAAAAGAGGAAAAAUACUAACUGUAAAAUUAAAUUCAUUACUAUAUCAAAGUCAAGCCUGCCUAUCAAGUCAUUUGACAGUUAAAAAUGUUUUGUUUAUCCCAUAAACUUUAUGAAAAAACUAGUUCAUUGCCAAAGGGAUGUUACUUACAGCAAAAUCUCUAGAAGCUCUGAAAUAGAAUUUGAGUUUUAUUUGCAUUUUAUUUUUACAUUCUUACUACUCUACUAACUACAUUCUGCCUAAGUAAAUAUGCUCAAAGCUUUAAAAGUAGGCUGAAUGAAUCACUGGUGGAAAAAUAA
rnacentral:lncRNA from 1 species